CCUACGGGAGGCAGCAGUAAGGAAUAUUGGACAAUGCUCGCAAGAGUGAUCCAGCCAUGCCGCGUGCAGGAAGACGGCCCUAUGGGUUGUAAACUGCUUUUGAACUAGAGAAAACCCUUCUACGUGUAGAAGGCUGAUAGUAUAGUUAGAAUAAGCAUCGGCUAACUUCGUGCCAGCAGCCGCGGUAAGACGAAGGAUGCAAGCGUUAUCCGGAUUCAUUGGGUUUAAAGGGAGCGUAGGUGGACUGAUAAGUCAGUGGUGAAAUCUCUCGGCUUAACCGAGAAAUUGCCAUUGAUACUGUUGGUCUUGAGUACAGUUGCUGUGGGCGGAAUAUGACAUGUAGUGGUGAAAUACAUAGAGAUGUCAUAGAACACCGAUUGCGAAGGCAGUUCACAAAGCUGUAACUGACACUGAGGCUCGAAAGUGCGGGGAUCAAACAGGAUUAGAUACCCUGGUAGUCCGCACUGUAAACGAUGAUUACUCGCUGCUGGGAGGUAACUUUCAGUGGCUUAGCGAAAGCGAUAAGUAAUCCACCUGGGGAGUACGCCGGCAACGGUGAAACUCAAANAGAGUAGAGGNGNGAGAGNGCGAGGCGACACGAGGGGAGGAGG
rnacentral:rRNA from 1 species